AGUGAGAUAGCGGAGUCAAAUGGUGAUUCCAUUACAAGUUUUCUGAGUAACCUCCAUACUGCUUUCCAAAAUGGUUGCACCAAUUUGCAGUUCCACCAGCAAU
rnacentral:pre_miRNA from 1 species